GAUUUGAAUUAGAACUCAAAUUCUGGGAUCACAGAGAUGUCGCAUUUUCUGCUUCGCAGGUCCAGCCUCAGCGAAUAAGUAUUUUUUCUUUUGCUUUUCCUUUCAUUUUCGACCUUUCAACCCUGUAAGCACUAAGAGGGCCUUUUAAACCUUACCCACAAUAGGUUUGGCCAAGACUGCAAUGGGAGCGGGCGGACGGGCGUAUCGGGACAGACCACUACUAAAAAGUUCUGGAGUUGCCUAUCCGGAUUCGAUUUUGGGUGUCCUCUUAAUGUCUCAGCCAUCUGGCCAUCGACAAAUAAUAAGUGGUGCAUCUGUGGGGUUUAAAUAGAGUACACGUGACGAGUCUUAAAUAUUCAGAGAAGGAAAGAAGAAGAAGUCUUAAAUAUAUAUAAACUUUUCUGAAAAAGAAAUCUUUUUCAUAAAACACAAAAAUGGCACAAGGUGGGUUAAAGGUUAAAACGAAGUUACCAGAUAGUAUCAAGAAGAAGAAUAACAACAGAAAAAUGAAAACAAAUCAGAAAAAAGUUUUCAAAAAGACAAAGGUAACUUCAGAGAAAAAGAGAAUACAAAAGGCAUUGGAGAAAACAAUUCGUGCAAAUAUUGAGAACGAAAUCAGGUGUAGAGCAAGUGGAGUUGGAACAAGUUCUUUUAAUUCUAAGAAUAAAAACUAAUAUUAAAACACUUGUAUAUUUUUAUUCUCUUUAAAUUAUCACAAUCUUUAUUAAUUGCAAUAAAUGUUCUGUUUCUUCUUUGAAGAAAUUUUUAAUACACUAAAAACCUCAAUAUAAUAAACUAAUUUGGGCGAAGGGGUUUGUGCUUUAUUAAAGCUGAAAGUCUUUCUUAUAAUAAAUUAGGUUUUCCAAAUGUUCCGAAACUGAAACAAACAAAUAUACAAUAUAAAUCUAAAUAAAUAAAUGCUUUUUGAAAAAUACAUUUUAUGGGCAGUGACUUUUAGAUUUGAAAAAAAUUACCUGUUAAUUUAAUUACAUAUAAAACACACUGCAUGACGAUGAUUAUGAUGCAGUUACUUUCAAUAAAGUGAAGUCACCAACAAGAUGAACUGUUCCAAAUUAUGAGGCAAAUUUGUAAAGAUAGAAAGUCCAGAAAAUACUUAAAAAGCAUUUAAAGUUUAGAUUGACUUAUAAUACCUUUACAUCAUAUAUCUGUUUAUUUUUCAACAUAGUAAUCAUGAACCUCAAUAUACUUAAUGAGUCUGAAUAUCAGUACAAGUCGACCCUCCUACAACACUGUUGGUAAUUCCGUGUUAUACGAAUUC